rnacentral:sRNA from 1 species
CAGGUCUCAUGGAAGGAAUCAUGUGAUCAGAAACAGAUGAGGCUCAAGGUACCUACCUCACCGUAAGGCAAACUCCACUAGCUGGGACGUCAGAGAUGCUAUCCUUGUUUGUGGGACAGAUGGACAGACAGACAGACAAUCCCUUCCCCGAAGGCAGGAACAGGUAACAAGGAGCUGCAGGUCCUCAGUAAGCCAGAGCCCAGCAUCCAACCCCAUGGGAUCUGAAGGCUGAGGAAUGUUCGACUCCUCACCCAUUUGGGCUCCCAAAGCUCUUACGGGCAAGUGUCUCAUGUCAGAGGCAUUCCCGGGCUGGCCUUGCAUACUGAUGGAUCUGUAGGUCCGGGGUCCUUGAGUGGGGGUGAGGUCUACCCGUAGCUUCCCUAAGCAUUGCCCCAGUGGGUCUUAUGCAGGACCCUUCCCUAGACCCAAGGACUCCGUGAUCUCCAAGUGGAAGUAGUCCCGCCUACUCCUUGAUGCCUGCAAACCUAAGUUGGCCCCUCCUGGACAAUGCUGACACUCCAUACUCGAGCCCCCCCACGAGGAGCCUGCAGCUGAUCCCGUGUGGACACAUCAAGGGGCUGUGGCCAUCAGAGCUGUCUCCUACCUAGUGAGUGUGGUAGGUGUGGGAGCCACCUUGCACACACCUGGAGCUGUUUGGACAUCCUUAUCUGCAGAGAGCCUGGCUCCCUCAGACUCCCCUGUAGCUGCUUAAACAUCCCUGAAGUCAAACCACCAUAGACUUCUCCAAGAGUUUGGGGACCCUAGGUCUGGACCCUGUCCCUGGACACAAGCUUCUGGGGUGGAGGAAUAGGGUCAUCUCCUGAAGUGGGAAGAGACACAAGGUACCGUAGAGAUAAAACUGUCCCACACAGCUACACUGGCUGAGGGAUCACCCCUAUAGCCAGUCAGCUCCAUACCUUUCCCUCUGUCCUUUGUAGGGGACGUCCAAUCCCGGCCCUGUACCCCGUGAGGCAGGAUGCUGGGGGCUGAACCCAUGCCAGCUGCUGAGUGGACAGCAGCUGAUCCACCUUGGCCAGGCCCCAGGAUGAGAGACAUCCGGGGAAUGUUCCAAGAACAGAAAGAAAAGCCAUCAGCCUCAAGAGUCCCACUUUCGCCACACGCCUGCCUCCUCUGAUUGAAGCCACAACUUGUUUCCAUCCGGACUGGCCAGGGGCCACCUUAUACUAGCACCCAGAGCCCAUCCCCAGGGCUGAUGAGAAGGUGACAGUUCUCGGUAAAGUGCUGGAAUGCUUUUUUGAGGGAGGAGUGGCUUAAAGGCCUGAUGGAGAAGGCUCAGGGGUUUGGGGGGUGGGGGGGGGGACGGGACACAGAGAUCCAAAUAAGGUAGAGGUGUAAAAUCCAAAGGGAGCAGAUGUGUAAUGGGUGACUCUAUGGGACUAGAGCCGGUUGGGAUCUCUUAAGUGAUGGGAUGUUGUGCUACUGUCCCGACCCCAGGGCACCAGGUGCUGAUGAGAUAUUGGGAACUGGGGAGGGGUGGUGGAGCAGCCAGUGCAGAGCGGCUCCAGGCACUGGCCAACCCCAGUCAGCCACCUGGUGUUUGCUAAGUUCAGGGCCCCUUUCCUGCCCUGGGCUUCUGGCUUCUGCAGUCUGAGAUGGAACGCUGCAGUCUGCGAAGCCGGUCCGGGUAGAUGAUGAAUUGACGUUCCAGCCCUGGGAACUGCGUGUGGCUCCCGGAAGCCCAGCUGUGGAAAAUCUCUCUCAGACCUGGUGCUGUAGCCCAGAGAAAGGGGAUGGGAACCACAGUGCCUCAUGGCCCGAACUCCCAACAGGUGCUGCUGGGGUCACUACACAGUGGUAUGAAGUCUGGAUUCCAGCCCGUUUGGCUAACAGGGCCUGGUUGUUUUGCACAUUUGCUGCCCACUCCCUUGAGUUCACAGCUUAACUGUUGCAGCAGGAAGCCUGGGAAGGCACACAGACAUGGCCACCAUACGGAAGUCCCUGCUCUGCCCGGACCCUUGGCAUGCUGCUCUAAGCUUGGUGUGCACUGGUCCAGCAUCAGCAGACGACAUUAAGUUGGAUCAUGUGGAGCAAGAGUGGCGUCUGAGCCAACCCCUGCUGGGUUCCGGACUACAGACAAGCUCAAAACCAGGUGGACAGCUCACCUCGGUGACUGGUGCCUUCGGAACCUCACCCAGCCACUGCCAACACUUGUGUCAGUCCUGUGGCUCCUACAGAGGGCUCCACAGCAUCUGCCCAGAGACCACAGACCACAGACCACGGUCUGUUUCAUGUUCAGCUCUAUGAAACUGGGAAGUUGUCACUUAGAUGGCUCUGAGACCCAAGCCGGACAGAUGCAGAGCCCAGCCCUUCCGGGUCCCCAGCCAGGCCUGCAUUCUGAGUUGGCUACAGUCUGUGUAGGUUUGAGCGUUGGCUCCGGAACUCUGUGUUUCCCUGUUUGUCAAUGUUUUUGGGUCCCAGAUAGGGGGUUUCAGGCUUCUUGUAAAGUCUGUCCCCUCCCCUGUUCCUGGAUCUUUCAGAGAGAGAGAGAGAGAGAGAGAGAGAGAGAGAGAGAGAGAGAGAGAACUCAGCAAUGCUGCUUAAAGCUUUGUUGUCUUUGCAGAACCUGCAGCCUUCAGCUAUGGAGCCCCCAGGUUGCGUGCAACUGUGACCCUGUAAUAAAACCAGAGGUUUCUCAUGAAUCAGAAAAGCUCCAUGAAUGCCUCAUUCCUAGGAAGCCUGGCGUCCACCCACCCUGCCUGCAUCUCCCUACAUUGCCAUCAAGGGGAAGAAGACUGUCCUUGAGCCCAGUCCUGCAAACACAGCAAGCAGCUUGUUUAAAUAAGGCACAUUACGCACUUUGUGACAUUUGCCAAUGUUUGGGUCCCAGAUAGGCCUGUGGAGUGGAUUCUCACAGCCCCGAGCAACUCCAAUCUUCCUCAGGAAAAUGGGUUCCACAUAUCAGCUCCUGGAGAGUACCCACAGGAAGGCUAGAUUUCCUCUGUGGGGAAUGCUGUCCCGUGUCUUGCUCUAGCUGGGGAGAAGACCCCUAGGAUAAGAGGUAACCCCAAGUGCAGGGGAACCCCUAGAUCCACGGGCUUAACUGUUAACAUUAGUCCAACCCUUCAGGGUCUACCCCGAAGCACAAAUCUGCAUUCCAUGCUGCACCUUGGCAAGCCCCCGGACCCCCACUUCUAAGUGAACCCCAUGCCUGGUCACAUCUCAGGCAUUUGAUGGCUUAGUUCCACGGGCACUCCUCAAGCUGUGCCAUCUCUGAGGGCUCCCUUUGCAGAUAGUCUCAAGCUCCUUUGAGAAACCCUUUUGAAUAUGGCCUUUAGCCAUAGAUACAAAAACCGGAACUCCCUGCCCGGCUGGUGACUCACCAAGCAUUUACCUCCCAGCACAUUUCCAGAGACAAAGCCAGGAUUUUAUGACCAUGGGAUUAUGAUGAGCGAGAGGUUGGAAUUCCACAAGAAAGCCCCAAACUUCAGCACGUGAAUCCUGGUAACUGACUGGGUAAACAGAAAGGCCCUAUUUGGGACAUGCACGUCUGUGCCCCAAGACACCAGUUCCCAGUGUCUGGACUCUCGGUCUGCCGCCAGCCUACUGCUCCCACCAUCUGCUCCCUUUGGUGGCUGGGGAAGCUUCCUUGCCUCUACGGGCAGCGGUUCAACCCUUGACCUACUUCAUAACUGUGGUGUGGUCUCCAAUGAAGUUCCUACGAUACUUUCCCAUCCUCAGCCCUUACCUUCCUAUGGUCGGCCCGUGGUGGCUACCAGUUUGCCCCUAAUGUAUACCUCUCAACCCUUUCUAUUGGCCCCGCUGGGUGCCUAUGCAUGUGGCUUCCACAUUGUAACAUGACAGCAUAGCUGUCCCCAAGCAUGGCAGGGAGCCAGAUCCUUUCUGGGCCCCUCCCUACUUGUUCCCUGACUGAAGAGUCCCACAUUCCCACCCCCAUCCCUAUAUUACGGAGCCCCAGCUUCCAAGGGGGUCUGCCUGUUUCAAAGGAGAACCUCGUUGCUGUUUGGGCCAGGGACCUAUGCCCCGGCCUCAGGACACUGUUCUCUCUGGGAAUGGAGUACUUGUGCUGACACUUCUGAUACCUGAUGACAGAAAAAGCCUUGAGUGCUAGUAUGUGUGUGUCUGCUGUUUGUCUAUCUGUCUCUUUCUGUGUGUGUCUAUCUCUGUCU